UUCCUUUUUCCAUUUUGGUUGUCUUGUUAAUGUUUUCUCUGGUCGCUCAUUUCUGGACACAGGCUGAUCUUUUGCAUUAGGAUAUUGGGGCUCCAAUGAGGUUUUCAACAGUUUGAGAUGUCGGCCACAUGUUGCAGUAUUAGCACAUGCUCCAUGGCAAACAACUUAGUAUCAUCUUCUUCAAACUGCAAGAUUUCACCAAGCAGUAAGACAGUCAGAGAUCUCUCAUAAUGUUUUCCAACGCAGCAAAAUCAUCAGUAUUCACUGAAGUGUGAAGAAAAUAUAAAAACACAUCGCCCGGUGUUUAUAGGUCCAGCCCAUCAGAGUUUUUUUAGCUGCCCAAGAGGCACAUUGGCUAUUUGAGGAAACAAAAAAAAUAUAUAAUCAACACUUGUCAAUGCCAUAUCAACAGUCCCUGAAGAAUCUAAAAUUAUUAGCACUGGACAAUUUGCUUUUCAGCUACAGACAUGAUGACCGCAGCAGGACUUCGGUAUCUCCAAACAGAUUUCCUACAAAACAUCUCAAGGGCUCCUAGAAUUCUGCCUCAGGCAGAGGAGGCCAAGCGCUUAUUUCCCAAGGCUUCCUUAAUGUGUGGAAGAAGAGAAUCUGACUGUGUGCGUGCACAUUUGCUGGAGAGGAGCUGGAAUAAAUGGCACCAAGAUUCCUUCUUUCUUCUGUCUGAUCUUCCUGCAGAGGAGUGUUGCGCAAAGAUGCGGAAACGUGGAAAGAAUGCAUGAAAUAUGAAAAUCCCAGUCGGGACAAAGAGAAUGACUUUACACAGGAGUUAGUGUGGCGCAAAGAUCCCCACAACUCAAAUGUGUGCUGUACGCCUGUGCCAUUUGAUACUUUGCAUAGUUAUAGUAAAAGACAGGCAAUAUCACAGCAUGAAGUGUUUUUCUUUUCUCUGAAGAUGAUUUUGCUGUACAUAACAAACUCAGCUGCACUCUGCACCUCCGUUUCAACACAAAGAAACACAAAGAAAGGUUUUCUUUCUGAAUUGUUGUUGACAUGUAAGAUCUACAUU